GCGUCGAUAGUGCAACGGGUUAAAGCACGCGCUCCUGGAAAGUGUGAAAUACGGGUUCGAAUUCCGACCUGACGUG